GCCUCUCAGCCUACUACAUCUUUCUCCUGUGCUGGAUGCUUCCUACCCUUGAACAUCAGACUCCAAGUUUUCCAGUUUUGGGACUUGGACUGGCUCUUCUUGCUCCUCAGCUUGCAGGCAGCCUAUUGUGGGACGUGUGAUCAUAAAUGAAGCACCUGCAAUUCUUGCUAACACUGUUUUGCUGUUUGGGCAAAGAAGAAUAGGUAAAUGAGUCCUGUUUCAUAGAACAGUUGUCAAAUCUCAGCCAAAGAUUCUGCAAGAGAGCUUGGACUUUUGCUGUGAGACGUUAACUUCAAUGGAGCUGCUGAUCUCUCCUCUCUAAAGUGAUCCAGGCAAGAAUUAAAAGCAGAGGCCGGGCAGGGUGGCUCACGCCUGUAAUCCCAGCACUUUGGGAGGCCGAGGCGGGCGGAUCACGAGGUCAGGAGAUUGAGGCCAUCCUGGCUAACACGGUGAAACCCCGUCUCUAUUAAAAAAUAUAAAAAAUUAGCCAGGCGUGGUGGCGGGCGCCUGUAGUCCCAGCUACUCGGGAGGCUGAGGCAGGAGAAUGGCGUGAACCUGGGAGGCAGAGCUUGCAGUGAGCCAAGAUUGUGCCACUGCACUCCGGCCUGGGCGGCAGAGCGAGACUCCAUCUCAAAAAAAAAAAAAAAAAAAAAAAAAAAGGCAGAAGAUGAGAUUGCUUACCUGUGACAAAGAAUGUUUUCACCUCUCAGUAAAUAAUUACUAAAGUAUUUGAAUUAACUUCAGACAGGUGUUUGAUUAUAUUUUUGAAUAAAUAGGGAAGUCUACCUCAAAAUAAUUUGAUAAGAAGCAGUUCAUCCAAGGCUUUCUCUAUUAAAUAAAAAUGUUUGGUCAUACAA
rnacentral:lncRNA from 10 species